GCAAGCACCGGCUAACUCCGUGCCAGCAGCCGCGGUAAUACGGAGGGUGCAAACGUUGCUCGGAAUCAUUGGGCGUAAAGCGCGCGUAGGCGGCUGAACAAGUUGGAUGUGAAAGCCCCUGGGCUCAACCUAGGAUGUGCAUUCAAAACUGUUCGGCUUGAGUCUCGGAGGGGGUCAGAGAAUUCUCGGUGUAGAGGUGAAAUUCGUAGAUAUCGGGAGGAACACCAGUGGCGAAGGCGCUGACCUGGACGAUGACUGACGCUGAGGCGCGAAAGCGUGGGGAGCAAACAGGAUUAGAUACCCUGGUAGUCCACGCCGUAAACGAUGAGUGCUAGACGCUGGCGGAUUGACCCCGUCGGUGUCGAAGCUAACGCGUUAAGCACUCCGCCUGGGGAGUACGGUCGCAAGACUAAAACUCAAAGGAAUUGACGGGGGC
rnacentral:rRNA from 1 species